rnacentral:misc_RNA from 1 species
AGUCGUAACAAGGUAUCCGUAGGUGAACCUGCGGAUGGAUCAUUACCAAAGGAUUCAUUUCCAACGUAUUGUGAACUGUUUUGAACUUGCCAGUCAGUGUGUGUGUGGUUUACCGGCGUGUUGUUAUACUGUGCUACAGUAUGAUGUGCGCGGUAGGCACACGCACACUGGCUGUACCCUUAAACACGUAUAUUAUUUAUUAAACUGAAGUCUGUUUUAGAUUAAACUAAAACACAACUUUUAGCAACGGAUCUCUUGGCUCUC